GUUAAAGUGUUAUCGUGAUAAGAGCAAUUAAACUAUAAGCGAGAAGUUGUAAGCUCGAAUAACGAGCAAUAAGUGUUAAGCUGUUGGAAUUAGAAAUAAAAAUAAGUGUGUAGCCAUUAAAUUGGGACUUUUAUUUAACAAUCCAGUGAUCGAACUCAAGAGUGAGUUACAGGUAGACGAUAUAUCGAGAAAUCCGUUACAAUACCUUAAUUACAAUAGUCGGUAAUCGACCAGUGGUCGCUUAUCUACUCUUAUUAGACAUUCGUAAUAGGGGCUUUAGUUUUUCUUAAAUAUUGCUCAAUUUCAGUCUUUCUAGAAUAAAUAACGGGUUGUAUUAAUAAAAACAAGCUAUUAUUUAGAAUAAAAUCUCGCAGCAAAGUAAAAGUAUUCAGUAUUUGCUAUGAAUUUGUAUGAAUAAAAAUUAAGCUUUGUUGAUUGAAUCUUAUCAAAAAUCAGUUAAAACUUGAAGAGGAUGGAUCAAGUUUUGGAAGAAUAUUCUCUGUUCAAAGCAGAGGUGGAGUUUCUUCACGAAGAGUGGAACCGUGAUGUCAGUACUCAAUCUGGAUCAAAUACAGAUUCAAAACUAGCAUCUCCACGUAGGGAAGUGAGCGAUAUUAAAUUUGCUCAAGCUUUGGAGUCCGUCGGCAAAGUUUUACUGACGAAAUCUCAAGCUCUAUAUAUUAAUAUCAGAAACAACCAAUCCAGAUAAAAAAAAUAGUUGCUAACCUGAAGCAGGGUCUGAAGGCAAAAGCAGAUUUAAAAAGCAGGUAUAAAUGUCGGUUAAUAUGGUUUUGAAAUAAGUCUUUCUGAACCAAAAUAUUCCAAAAAGUCAUCUGAUGUUAACGCUAGCAUAUUAUCCGAAGACGUAUCAGAUACUCCAGAAACAUCGACAGCAUCUACUAAGAAUGAACGCACCUGCCUUUAAACAAUAAUGAAUAAUUUGGAUAACAUCACGUUGCAGUACUCCGUUUUACAAAAUUAAAUGGAACUUUUAAAUAUGCAGAACAGGAUGCUUAUUGCACAAAAGUAGAGCUUGAUAAGAAAAUGCAGUUGUACGAAAUAAAGGACAAUAAAGGUUUUGGAAGCUUAACUGUUACCGCUUAAAAAAUAAAAUUAACGAAUUUGGGUAAAAAUUAAUAACAGCUAUCUCCUCUUAUGCAAUUAAAGAGAAUUGUAUUAAACACAA